rnacentral:rRNA from 1 species
GAAGAAGGUAUCUUUGGGUCUGGCUCUUGUCUAUGUUUCUUGGAACAGAACGUCACAGAGGGUGAGAAUCCCGUGCGAUGAGAUGAUCCAGGCCUAUGUAAAGUUCCUUCGAAGAGUCGAGUUGUUUGGGAAUGCAGCUCUAAGUGGGUGGUAAAUUCCAUCUAAAGCUAAAUAUUGGCGAGAGACCGAUAGCGAACAAGUACAGUGAUGGAAAGAUGAAAAGAACUUUGAAAAGAGAGUGAAAAAGUACGUGAAAUUGUUGAAAGGGAAGGGCUUGAGAUCAGACUUGGUAUUUUGUAUGUUACUUCUUCGGGGGUGGCCUCUACAGUUUAUCGGGCCAGCAUCAGUUUGGGCGGUAGGAGAAUUGCGUUGGAAUGUGGCACGGCUUCGGUUGUGUGUUAUAGCCUUCGUGGAUACUGCCAGCCUAGACUGAGGACUGCGGUUUAUACCUAGGAUGUUGGCAUAAUGAUCUUAAGUCGCCCGUCU